UUCAACGACGCCUAGACCUCGG
rnacentral:siRNA from 1 species